rnacentral:rRNA from 1 species
CCCCUAGUAACUGCGAGUGAAGCGGGAAAAGCUCAAAUUUAAAAUCUGGCGGUCUUUGGCCGUCCGAGUUGUAGUCUGGAGAAGUGCUUUCCGCGCUGGACCGUGUACAAGUCUCUUGGAACAGAGCGUCAUAGAGGGUGAGAAUCCCGUCUUUGACACGGACUACCAGUGCUUUGUGAUGCGCUCUCAAAGAGUCGAGUUGUUUGGGAAUGCAGCUCAAAAUGGGUGGUAAAUUCCAUCUAAAGCUAAAUAUUGGCGAGAGACCGAUAGCGAACAAGUACCGUGAGGGAAAGAUGAAAAGCACUUUGGAAAGAGAGUUAAACAGUACGUGAAAUUGCUGAAAGGGAAACGCUUGAAGUCAGUCGCGUUUGCCAGGACUCAGCCUUGCUUUAGUGAGGUGCAUUUUCUGGUUGACGGGCCAGCAUUGAUUUUGGUUGUCGGAUAAAGGCAGGGGGAAUGUGGCAUCUUCGGAUGUGUUAUAGCCCUCAGUCACAUACGACGGCUGGGAUCGAGGACCGCAGCACGCCUUUAUGGCCGGGGUUCGCCCACGUUCGUGCUUAGGAUGCUGGCAUAAUGGCUUUAAACGACCCGUCUUGAAACACGGACCAAGGAGUCUAACAUGCCUGCGAGUGUUUGGGUGGAAAACCCGAGCGCGUAAUGAAAGUGAAAGUUGAGAUCCCUGUCGUGGGGAGCAUCGACGCCCGGACCUGACCUUCUGUGAUGGAUCUGCGGUAGAGCAUGUAUGUUGGGACCCGAAAGAUGGUGAACUAUGCCUGAAUAGGGUGAAGCCAGAGGAAACUCUGGUGGAGGCUCGUAGCGAUUCUGACGUGCAAAUCGAUCGUCAAAUUUGGGUAUAGGGGCGAAAGACUAAUCGAACCAUC